AUUGAACGCUGGCGGCAGGCCUAACACAUGCAAGUCGAGCGGAGCGGCGGACGGGUGAGUAAUGCCUAGGACUCUGCCUGGUCGUGGGGGAUAACGUCCGGAACCGGGCGCUAAUACCGCAUACUCUCAGCUGAGCCUGGGUCGGAUUAGCUAGUUGGUGGGGUAAAGGCCUACCAAGGCGACGAUCCGUAACUGGGCUGAGAGGAGGAUCAGGCACACUGGAACUGAGACACGGGCCAGACUCCUACGGGAGGCAGCAGGGGGGAAUAUUGGACAAUGGGCGAAAGCCUGAUCCAGCCAUGCCGCGUGUGUGAAGAAGGUCUUCGGAUUGUAAAGCACUUUAAGUUGGGAGGCGUUACCAGCAGAAGAAGCACCGGCUAACUUCGUGCCAGCCGCCGCGGUAAUUC
rnacentral:rRNA from 1 species